rnacentral:piRNA from 1 species
CAUACCGGCCAAAGAAGGCUGACC